AUACGUAGGUGGCGAGCGUUGUCCGGAUUUACUGGGUGUAAAGGGCGAGUAGGCGGGCUUGCAAGUCAGAUGUGAAAUACCGAGGCUCAACUUCGGGGCUGCAUUUGAAACUGCGAGUCUUGAAUGAUGGAGAGGCAGGCGGAAUUCCCAGUGUAGCGGUAAAAUGCAUAGAUAUUGGGAAGAACACCAGUGGCGAAGGCGGCCUGCUGGACAUUAACUGACGCUGAGGAGCGAAAGUGUGGGGAGCAAACAGGAUUAGAUACCCUGGUAGUCCACACCGUAAACGAUGGAUACUAGGUGUGCGGGGACUGACCCCCUGCGUGCCGCAGUUAACACAAUAAGUAUCCCACCUGGGGAGUACGAUCGCAAGAUUGAAACUCAAAUGAAUUGACGGGG
rnacentral:rRNA from 1 species